UGGCGCGCGGCGCUGCGGCGGGGGCGGGGCAGGAACCCCCGGCCGCUGACAGCCAAACUCGCCAACUCCGCCCUCCCGCGGGAUCCCGGAGCCCUAGCCUGCCCCCGGGACCAGGCCGUCCGAGCCGCGCGGCGAGCGAACAUGGCAGCAGAAUGAGAAGGCUGGCCCCAGGUCGUGGCCGCCGCCGCGCUGCAGCUCCACAUCCACGCCCGGCGCCCUCCGAACCUCCAGCUUAGCCGGCCUCCUGCUGGCCGCCGGUGCAUUUCAUUCGGAGCGGCGGGCGGGGAGGAAGGGGACCCCCGCAGCCCGGCCGGUCCGGGCUCUGGCAGUGUGUCGAGGCUCCUGCGUGCGACUCGCAGGCUGCGGAAGCGACGCGGGGGAGAGCCGGUCCCGGCUGCGGCGGCGCGGGCGCGGGGAUGAGCCGGCCAUGGAGCGACCUCGGCGGGGCGCACGCAGCCGGCCCGCGCUGCGGCGGGGACGCCGCCUGAGCCCGGGCUCCGCGGGGCUUCGGGGCCUCGGGCGCGCCGGGGGGGGUCCCUGCCGCCGCCUCCGGGAAGGACGGGAGCCCCGCGUGGCGGACACUGCAGCAGUCACCGUACUGAGGCGCCCGAGCCUGCUCCGCCUGCGGCUCGGUGCGCUCUGGGCACCAGGGCGCCUGGCCCGGUGCACGGCGGCUGGCGCACCGCGGCGAGCCGGCUGCGGGACUGGCUAGAGGGCUGUGCGUGCGCGUGUUCGACCGGAGAUCCGAGCUAAAAGCAGAACCAGGCGGGCCGGAGCAGCCAUGCUUCCCGGGGUGGGCGUGUUCGGCACCAGCCUCACGGCCCGUGUCAUCAUCCCGCUGCUGAAAGACGAGGGCUUCGCGGUGAAGGCGCUCUGGGGCCGCACGCAGGAGGAAGCGGAGGAGCUGGCCAAGGAGAUGAGCGUCCCCUUCUACACCAGCCGCAUUGACGAGGUGCUGCUGCAUCAGGACGUGGACUUGGUGUGCAUCAACCUGCCGCCGCCCCUCACCAGGCAGAUCGCAGUCAAGACCCUGGUCCAUCUGAAAACCCAAAGGUUUGCAGUGGUUCCCGUCUGUCACGUGGGGAGGAACAGUAGAGAGGAGAAAAGAGGAGAGAGUGUUUCAAGAGCAGGGCAGACAUACACCCGGGCCAUUUCGACAAAGCUGAAGCUUUUUUGGAAGAUAACAACCUGUUUAUGCUCUCCUCUCCUCUGCCUCGGCAUCGUGAUGGCUGCUUAAAAACCAAUCCUGCCAUGUGCUUGGCCAGCAGCAGUCUCCAGAAAGCCAAAUGUGAGGAAAGUUUGGGUCCUGCAUCUCAAAUCUUCUGCCUGGCACAUCUGGAACAGUUAAUUCCCAGGCGGCACUGAAUUUUCUCAGAGGCUUGUGAACGGGUCUCGGAUGGUUGCAAGAUACGGUAAAAGUCCACGUGUGAUUGCAAGCGGUUUUCCUUGGGAAGAAGGUUAUUGCAUCCUAGUUUCUCAACAUUUUCGCUGCCUCGCCGUCGUGUUGAAAUGAACUUUCUUUUCUGCCCCUUCUUAUGUGAACACUGUGUGUGCAGUUUCUUUAUCCUGGGCUUUAAUGGAAGAGGCACAACGUUGGACAGGGGUGGGGAGGUGCAGGGGUGUCCAGCACUGGGAGGUCAGUACUACCUCUAUAAAAUUCCACUUUGGAUGGAGGUGAAAGCUCAACUCAUGCCCUUUGAGUGGAUAGCUCAUUAAUAUUUGCCUGAUUUACAGAUGGAGAAAAUAAAGCCACAGAAUGGUGACGUGCCCAGCAAUUCAGCAAUGGUAAUCAAAGUUAAGAACAUGCCCACCCUUCACCCCUACAAUUCCACUUCUGGGAAUUUAUUUAGCUAUGUUAGCAUAAUUCUUUAUUGCAGCACUAUAAGACUGAAUAACUAGAAACACCCUAGAAAGUUACUUUAAGGAACUUUUUUUGUACCUGCUAAUAACUCAAGAAGUGAGGAUGGGGGGAGGGGAGCGACCAGCAUUCCAGGCAGAUGGAGCAGCAUGUGCAAAGGUAACUUUCUCAUGAUGCAAGGAGAAGAUUUAUAGCACCCUUAGCACGGCCAUCAUUUUACAAAUCAAAAUUACAUUCUCCAAGGGCCAUCUGUUCCUCUACGUUCAAGUUUAGUCUUUGGUUUUCUUUACCAGCACUGUCCUCCCAGGUAGGUAAAUAGAGAUUGUAGCCCAAGGCUGCAGGCCCCCAGCCCCUUAGAUGAACGGGGGGAGGGUGGUCAUGAGUGUAGCACAGCAUGUGCUUUGAGGUGCCCCAGAGAGAAAGCCCUAGAAAGGGGCAGCUCUGAGGUUGCCCCGGGGGGUGUUUGGUUGGAGACAUGUGCCCCUCCCCCAGGAUG